GUAAGCUACUAAGAGCGAAUGGUGGAUGCCUUGACUGGUAAAGGCGAUGAAGGACGUACUAGACUGCGAUAAGCUACGGGGAGCUGUCAAGAAGCUUUGAUCCGUAGAUUUCCGAAUGGGGCAACCCAAUGUAUAGAGAUAUACAUUACCUAUAUAGGAGCGAACGAGGGGAAUUGAAACAUCUUAGUACCCUCAGGAAAAGAAAUCAAUAGAGAUUGCGUCAGUAGCGGCGAGCGAAAGCGCAAGAGGGCAAACCCAGUGCUUGCACUGGGGGUUGUAGGACUGCAAUGUGCAAGAGGUGAGUUUAGCAGAACAUUCUGGAAAGUAUAGCCAUAGAGGGUGAUAGUCCCGUAUGCGAAAAACAAACCUUAGCUAGCAGUAUCCUGAGUAGGGCGGGACACGAGAAAUCCUGUCUGAAGCUGGGUCGACCACGAUCCAACCCUAAAUACUAAUACCAGAUCGAUAGUGCACAAGUACCGUGAGGGAAAGGUGAAAAGAACUGAGGUGAUCAGAGUGAAAUAGAACCUGAAACCAUUUGCUUACAAUCAUUCAGAGCACUAUGUAGCAAUACAGUGUGAUGGACUGCCUUUUGCAUAAUGAGCCUGCGAGUUGUGGUGUCUGGCAAGGUUAAGCAAACGCGAAGCCGUAGCGAAAGCGAGUCUGAAUAGGGCGCUUAGUCAGAUGCUGCAGACCCGAAACGAAGUGAUCUAUCCAUGAGCAAGUUGAAGCUAGUGUAAGAACUAGUGGAGGACUGAACCCAUAGGCGUUGAAAAGCCCCGGGAUGACUUGUGGAUAGGGGUGAAAGGCCAAUCAAACUUCGUGAUAGCUGGUUCUCUCCGAAAUAUAUUUAGGUAUAGCGUUGUGUCGUAAUAUAAGGGGGUAGAGCACUGAAUGGGCUAGGGCAUACACCAAUGUACCAAACCCUAUCAAACUCCGAAUACCUUAUAUGUAAUCACAGCAGUCAGGCGGCGAGUGAUAAAAUCCGUCGUCAAGAGGGAAACAACCCAGACUACCAGCUAAGGUCCCUAAAUCUUACUUAAGUGGAAAACGAUGUGAAGUUACUUAAACAACCAGGAGGUUGGCUUAGAAGCAGCCAUCCUUUAAAGAAAGCGUAAUAGCUCACUGGUCUAGUGAUUUUGCGCGGAAAAUAUAACGGGGCUAAAGUAAGUACCGAAGCUGUAGACUUGAUUUUAUCAAGUGGUAGGAGAGCGUUCUAUUUGCGCCGAAGGUAUACCGGUAAGGAGUGCUGGAGCGAAUAGAAGUGAGCAUGCAGGCAUGAGUAGCGAUAAUUAAUGUGAGAAUCAUUAACGCCGUAAACCCAAGGUUUCCUACGCGAUGCUCGUCAUCGUAGGGUUAGUCGGGUCCUAAGUCGAGUCCGAAAGGGGUAGACGAUGGCAAAUUGGUUAAUAUUCCAAUACCAACAUUAGUGUGCGAUGGAAGGACGCUUAGGGCUAAGGGGGCUAGCGGAUGGAAGUGCUAGUCUAAGGUCGUAGGAGGUUGUACAGGCAAAUCCGUAUAACAAUACUCCGAGAACUGAAAGGCUUUUUGAAGUCUUCGGAUGGAUAGAAGAACCCCUGAUGCCGUCGAGCCAAGAAAAGUUUCUAAGUUUAGCUAAUGUUGCCCGUACCGUAAACCGACACAGGUGGGUGGGAUGAGUAUUCUAAGGCGCGUGGAAGAACUCUCUUUAAGGAACUCUGCAAAAUAGCACCGUAUCUUCGGUAUAAGGUGUGGUUCGCUUCGUAUUAGGAUUUACUCCGAAAGCGAAGAAACUUACAACAAAGAGUCCCUCCCGACUGUUUACCAAAAACACAGCACUCUGCUAACUCGUAAGAGGAUGUAUAGGGUGUGACGCCUGCCCGGUGCUCGAAGGUUAAUUGAUGGGGUUAGCAUUAGCGAAGCUCUUGAUCGAAGCCCGAGUAAACGGCGGCCGUAACUAUAACGGUCCUAAGGUAGCGAAAUUCCUUGUCGGUUAAAUACCGACCUGCAUGAAUGGCGUAACGAGAUGGGAGCUGUCUCAAAGAGGGAUCCAGUGAAAUUGUAGUGGAGGUGAAAAUUCCUCCUACCCGCGGCAAGACGGAAAGACCCCGUGGACCUUUACUACAGCUUGACACUGCUAUUUGGAUAAGAAUGUGCAGGAUAGGUGGGAGGCUUUGAGUAUAUGACGCCAGUUGUAUAUGAGCCAUUGUUGAGAUACCACUCUUUCUUAUUUGGGUAGCUAACCAGCUUGAGUUAUCCUCAAGUGGGACAAUGUCUGGUGGGUAGUUUGACUGGGGCGGUCGCCUCCCAAAUAAUAACGGAGGCUUACAAAGGUUGGCUCAGAACGGUUGGAAAUCGUUCGUAGAGUAUAAAGGUAUAAGCCAGCUUAACUGCAAGACAUACAAGUCAAGCAGAGACGAAAGUCGGUCUUAGUGAUCCGGUGGUUCUGUGUGGAAGGGCCAUCGCUCAAAGGAUAAAAGGUACCCCGGGGAUAACAGGCUGAUCUCCCCCAAGAGCUCACAUCGACGGGGAGGUUUGGCACCUCGAUGUCGGCUCAUCGCAUCCUGGGGCUGGAGCAGGUCCCAAGGGUAUGGCUGUUCGCCAUUUAAAGCGGUACGCGAGCUGGGUUCAGAACGUCGUGAGACAGUUCGGUCCCUAUCUGCCGUGGGCGUAAGAAGAUUGAAGAGAUUUGACCCUAGUACGAGAGGACCGGGUUGAACAAACCACUGGUGUAGCUGUUGUUCUGCCAAGAGCAUCGCAGCGUAGCUAAGUUUGGAAAGGAUAAACGCUGAAAGCAUCUAAGCGUGAAGCCAACUCUAAGAUGAAUCUUCUCUAAGCUCUCUAGAAGACUACUAGUUUGAUAGGCUGGGUGUGUAAUGGAUGAAAGUCCUUUAGCUGACCAGUACUAAUAGAGCGUUUGGUUUAUCUUUA
rnacentral:rRNA from 1 species